UUACAGUUAGAACGACAAGGGAGGAGAGUUGGUAGAGAAAAGUUGUGGACCUUAAUGCACAAAUGACCUAAUGGCUCCUAUCUCCAUGAUGCAGCUCGGGCUAUUGGAAAGAAUUGUGGAGAUUGAAAAACAUGAUGAAUCAUCUAGAUUGUUGUCUCAAAAUGAUUUACUUGUUCAAACUCUCAGAAAGGAGCACUCGGGUAGAGUGCGUGGCAUGGGUAUCGGAUCGCCUUCUAAUCAAGUCUUCGGUACGAAUUCCUAUCAGCCAAGCAAUGAUGCUUAAAGAAAGGAGACCUAAAGGGUUCUGCUUGAACUACAAGCAGAGAUAGCGACCAAGAAAUUAAAAAGAAAGACAAUGGAAGAUGAAGUAGCAGCCGAGAAGACAAACAGGCAGGUAGUGAAGGAUGAGGUAGCAGCCAAGAAGACAAAGAGAGAGGCAUUGGAGAGUGCUCUGAGAUGUCUAAUUCAAGGGCAAGGUGGGCAGCUACCACCAGACGUGGCUGCAGGGAUGAAUUCAUUGGAGGGACAGAGUAGAAAGUUGAUUUUAGGAUUGGAAAUUAAGUUUUUAGUUAAAUAUACACUUUUUUUAUUGUUUAAUAUGCAACUCUUAGUAAAGAAUACACUAUUAAUAAUUGGAUAAAUAUAUGAAUUUGAUUUAUAGUUUUGCUAA